GGUUUACCAAAGUUGAGGGAGUGGAGAGUGGAGUCAGGAGCCAUGCCCCUUCUCUCUCAAUUAACAAUCGGAGAGUGUUCUUGUCUAGAGAUGGUUCCACAGGGAUUGAGUCGCAUUUCUACCCUUCAGACUCUCGUAAUUAAACAAAUGCCGAAAUUGAGAGAACGGGUAUCACCAUCAGGACAGGAUUUCCACAACGUCCGCCAUGUCACUUCAAUUAUCAUCAAGGACUAGUCUUCACCUAGGUUAAAUUUCUGUACCUUGGAGCUUCUUCAGUCUUCUUGUUGCAUUUCUCAUCUUUGUACUUUUUUCUCUUCCUAGAGAUCCUUCGUAGUUAUGUUUUGUGUGUAAUUAAUUGUUUGUAAUCUUGGUAAUUUUGAGAAUACGGUGGAUUGCAAAUCAAGUUAAAAGCUAUAUAUUCUCAUA